AUUGAACGCUGGCGGCAGGCUUAACACAUGCAAGUCGAACGGUAACAUAAAGAAGCUUGUUUCUUUGAUGACGAGUGGCGGACGGUGAGUAAUGCUUGGGAAUCUAGUUUAUGGAGGGGGAUAACUACGGGAAACUGUAGCUAAUACCGCGUAGAAUCGGGAGAUGAAAGUGUGGGACCUUCGGGCCACAUGCCAUAGGAUGAGCCCAAGUGGGAUUAGGUAGUUGGUGAGGUAAAGGCUCACCAAGCCGACGAUCUCUAGCUGGUCUGAGAGGAUGACCAGCCACACUGGGACUGAGACACGGCCCAGACUCCUACGGGAGGCAGCAGUGGGGAAUAUUGCGCAAUGGGGGCAACCCUGACGCAGCCAUGCCGCGUGAAUGAAGAAGGCCUUCGGGUUGUAAAGUUCUUUCGGUAGCGAGGAAGGCAUUUAGUUUAAUAAACUGGAUGAUUGACGUUAACUACAGAAGAAGCACCGGCUAACUCCGUGCCAGCAGCCGCGGUAAUACGGAGGGUGCGAGCGUUAAUCGGAAUAACUGGGCGUAAAGGGCACGCAGGCGGUGACUUAAGUGAGGUGUGAAAGCCCCGGGCUUAACCUGGGAAUUGCAUUUCAUACUGGGUCGCUAGAGUACUUUAGGGAGGGGUAGAAUUCCACGUGUAGCGGUGAAAUGCGUAGAGAUGUGGAGGAAUACCGAAGGCGAAGGCAGCCCCUUGGGAAUGUACUGACGCUCAUGUGCGAAAGCGUGGGGAGCAAACAGG
rnacentral:rRNA from 1 species